AUGAUGUCUGAGUUACAAAAAGAGAUUAAGCAAACCUUACUGUGAGUAAUACCAAGCCUUCCUGACGAGCCAUUCAAUCAGUCAGUUGAGAAAUGUGUAGUCUGAGGAGUAGAAGAUUUAAUGUACGUGAAAGAAGAGGACUUGUUAAGAGUUCAUACAGCCUGUCCAAUGCCAAACUGUUCACAUGAACAAAGAAGCAGCAUUUUGGUUCAGUAAUUAGUUUGACCGAGGUCUCCUCAAAAUUCACCACAAAUGAGCUCCUCAGGCUCCUCAUUAAGAAAAUGGAUGGACUCACACUUCAAGCAGAUGUAUUUGCCACUUCAGCAGAUGUCCAAGGAACACUCAACUUGCCUGACAGUCCUUGAAUUAUAAUUCUUGGUCAAACUCUAAGCAACCAGCAGUGGAUGGUGAGCAUUGAAGGUCACGUUGUAUGUGAGGGAACACAACUCAGCUUUGUCUGUGGCCGUACUGCUGUGUUUGCUUCAUGUGUGGACACUUUUUCUCUG